CGGCCGUAUCGAUGCAUUUAUUGCAGCUGCGGGAACUGGUGGCACUGUGGCUGGUGUUUCCAGGUUUCUCCAGGAGAAGAAUCCAAAUGUUAAGUGUUUCCUCAUAGAUCCUCCUGGUUCUGGACUGUUCAACAAGGUGACUAGAGGAGUUAUGUACACCAAAGAGGAGGCUGAGGGACGAAGAUUAAAGAAUCCUUUUGACACAAUAACUGAAGGAAUAGGAAUCAAUAGAUUAACG
rnacentral:misc_RNA from 1 species